GCACACAUCUUUGACAUCGCAGUCAUCUCCGACGCAGCUCACUCUUCACUCCACUCCUCACACCACCUCCACAGUCUUCAUAAGUGUUGUAGUAUUAAGUGUGCUAUGUACUCUAAUAAGAGACUCGCAUCUGAGUUUGUGUUAGUAAGAGUCCAAUGAGAGUCUUGUAAAUCAAGUUGUCCCUAUACGUGUGUAUCAAGUUUCCAGUGUACUACUCAGAGGAUUCAUCCUUCUGACUAUCAAGAUCUUGGGUGGCUUGGUUCAGAGGAUCCAGGACAGCUUCAAGAUUUUCAGCAGCUGCAAGAAUAAGAGGGUAAAGGGAAGAACUGGGAAAGGAAAGAACUGUCCAUAUUUUAAGAAUCAUAGCUAGCUUAUAGCAUGUAGGUGUAUGUAUCGAGCAGAUCAAUAUAUUGACAGGUUUACAGAUCCAUAUCUUAAAAUGUUUACGGAAAACACGCCAUAGAUCAAUAUGUAAAUGGAACAUGAAAGUACUGCAAAAUACCUGAGAAUUUCGGAUCA